rnacentral:ncRNA from 1 species
CCAUUUUGUGAGAAUUGGAAAUAUUUAUUAUGAUAACAAGUUGAACAGGCUAAUUUGCGCAAGAGUGUGCGAAAUGACUGCGCGGUUUGGCACCUCGAUGUCGGCUUAACUUAUCCUCAUGGACGCAGAAACUAUGUAGGGUGCGACUGUUCGUCGAUUAAAAAGUUACACGAGCUGGGUUAAAUACGUCGUGAGACAGUAUGGUUUCUAUCUUCUAGAGGGAAUUAGAAUAUAAUAAGGAGUAAUCUAGUACGAAAGGAACAUGGGGACUGUUAUUCUACGAAAACGUUUUGUAAUUUUAUUAACCUAUGGUUUACCUGUUGUUUAUGUACCCAAUAUUAAUUUAUUAUAUAACAAACAAUUUGUUAUAUAGGGAUUUUACUUUCACUUAAGUAACAUGAUAGCAUAGGCAUGGCAGGGAAGCUAAGUUAGUCAAAGAUAAGUGUUGAAAGCAUAUAGACACGAAGCUUACCUUAAGAUAUUUCUUAUAUAUACGUAAUAUAAUAUUACGAGAAUAGGCUUUUAUCUGUAAGAAUCUUGAGAUUUUUAGGAACAAAGUACUAAUUUUA